rnacentral:lncRNA from 1 species
ACAAUGCAGCGUAAGUCUUAUUUCCAUCGUAAAUAUAAAACUGUGAGAAUGAUUUUCAUAUAACAAUGUGUGUGCUUGGCAGAAGCAGAUUUAGGAGGGGUAGGGUUCCCAGGCCCCAAUUAUGGAGCUACAUUUAUGGUUAAUACAUAGACUCGUGAAGUCCAACUUCUAACAUUGUCUUACCAAGGGUCCAGCUCCUCCCUCAAUUUCAAAAUCCUGGAUCUCUUUAUGUGUACCUGCUUGGAAUAUAAACACUUCAUAUUUAAAACAGUAAAAAAUUAAUGAAAAUCUGUGAUAUUUCAUGUACAGGUGUUAGUAUGUAU